AAAAAGAAAGAAAAUUCCCCAAAGACGGGAAAGAUGCAUUGAAAAAAAAAAAGAGAGAGAGAAUCCGUGAAAGAAAUUUUGGUUUCUCUCCGUCUCUCUCACGCUCAACAAUUGUUGUUCGUCUCCCUGAAUGUCUCGCGAUCACCAGUAUUCAGGGCAAUUGUGGCGAUCAUUAAACCGAGGAGCGAGGGAGCUAACAGGAUGGGCACUGAAGUAGGAAUGUGGGUAUUUGACUUUUGUAGCCUCCUUUACGAGAAUCUGAGUUUUUCAGAGCCUCUUAUUAAAAUUCAUGGUUCUACACCUAUUGCACCAACCAAUUUCCACAAUCAAGUUCAACAAACAGUGGCUGCUCGUAUCCUCGUUAGACUUAAUGGUUCUACACCAAUAGCACGAACCAGAUUCCACAAUCAAGCACAACAAAACAUGGCCGCAUGUAUUAUCAGUGGAUCAAUAUAUUGCUGAUUUGAAUCAAAUACGGGAUAGUGAGCACAAGAACAACAAAGAGAAAUUAGCAUCCACGGCCUGCAUCAUAACCCCACAUCCUCUCCAUUUUCUACUCUCUUUAUUUCCCCAAAUUUCUAUGUAGAUGUAUAACAUUUAUCUCAUUUAAAUAUUAUAGGUCCAGAUUUAUUUAAUUAAACAUGUAUGCUAACCAUGAUUAAAAAGAUAUA